CGCCAGACUCCUACGGGAGGCAGCAGUGGGGAAUAUUGGGCAAUGGGCGCAAGCCUGACCCAGCAACGCCGCGUGAAGGAAGAAGGCUUUCGGGUUGUAAACUUCUUUUGUCAGGGAAGAGUAGAAGACGGUACCUGACGAAUAAGCCACGGCUAACUACGUGCCAGCAGCCGCGGUAAUACGUAGGUGGCAAGCGUUGUCCGGAUUUACUGGGUGUAAAGGGGGCGCAGACGGCGAUGCAAGCCAGGAGUGAAAGCCCGGGGCCCAACCCCGGGACUGCUCUUGGAACUGCGUGGCUGGAGUGCAGGAGGGGCAGGCGGAAAUCCUGGUGUAGCGGUGAAAUGCGUAGAUAUCAGGAGGAACACCGGUGGCGAAGGCGGCCUGCUGGACUGCAACUGACGUUGAGGCCCGAAAGCGUGGGGAGCAAACAGGAUUAGAUACCCCAGUA
rnacentral:rRNA from 1 species